rnacentral:misc_RNA from 1 species
GUACUCGGCGUCCCUUCUGUCGUUCCUCUUUCGCAUCUCGCGAAAUACUCUGAUUAUAAACGCGCCACACGAGCACCCACACGUGUUCUCUUUGUUCCAUCGAGCGACAAUAUAAAAAUUAGUCGAAAUACCGUUGUCGUCGCAGUAUUUACCGGUGAAAUUUUAGUAAUCAGCUGGCAGUUAAAUACGCGAGACGGUCAUUUUGUCAUCAGCUGAGUACGGCUAUGACGAAAUCCGAGCGAGUGAUCAGUCUGCCGAUACGCACGAAGCUCUGGUCAAAGAGGCGUCGCUCGGGGAGACUCUCCCACUGCCGACCGAACACCAUACUGUAACAUCGUUCCCAUGAAAUACUCUUGAUUUCUCGAAAAUUUCCACACGGACCGUCAGUGAUCUCUGCAGAAAACGAUUGACAGUUUGUUUCGUGCUCGUGCGACGCGUUUUAGCAGAGAAAUACGUGGUUGUAGUUCAGCUGUCAGUAGAACGCGGCCAUUUUACGUCAGCUGAGAAGGUCGGUGACGACACGCGCCGAGUGAAAUAUCUUCGCGCGAUGUUUCGGAGAAUGUUUUCCAAACCACCUCACCUUCGAAGUUAUUUCCAAAUCGCUGCACCGACGAGUAAACUGUAUUUUAUUUGAUAAAUAAGUUCGAGCUUGCAUAAAUAAAGUAGAUUAUAAAAAACAAAUCCUCAGACUGUCGUGGAGGGACGACAAAAAGUCGACCGGCGUAUUUUCGUCCCAUAUUUCGCGUUCGAGGAAAAAUUGCUCGAUCAACGAGCAGUUUGGGCGGAAAAAAAUAAUAGAGUUAGUUGUUCGUCAGCUGAGGGCGCCAGUGACGAAAUACGACGGAGUGGAUAGUCUGCAUCGGUCGAGAUACAUUUUCUCAGCCGGUGCGUAAUAGGUUUCGGGAAACCGGUGCAUGACCGUGAUCGCACGUCCAUUUUGAAGUGAUUCCCGAGAGGUCAGAGACAACGAGAUGCCGGCUCGGCUGGAAAACAGAGUUACAACGACAAAUCGAUCGGAGGCGGUGUCGAGGAAGGUGAGGCAGUUGCAGCGGCAUACCGUAUGCUUGUCAUGGCGGCGCAGAGGACGAGCAAUGAAAAUGGCCGGAAGAUGCAAAGGGGCAGAGCGGGGAGGGAUGUUAAGGCCGAAUAGAAGGCAACGGUCCACGCAUUCUCAGCAGCCUAUCCUAGAUUUAUUUCCGUGGAUGUUGCGCAAUAAACGAUACGCUGUUUAGCUCGAUCCUACCCCUCGAAGAGGUGCCAAGGGCUAAAACCCCUGGUCCUGCAACAAGCCGAUGUUCGACCUCCAAGUGGACCUAGAAAAACGAAACAUCCAAUUCAAACGAAUAUGCG